UUCCGGUUGAUCCCGCCGGAGGACAUUGCUAUUGGGAUUCGAUUUAGCCAUGCUAGUCGAGCGAGUUCAGACUCGCGGCAGAUAGCUCAGUAACACGUGGCCAAGCUCCCCUUCAGUCGGCAAUACCCUCGGGAAACUGAGGUUAACGGCCGAUACGGAACAGUCGCUGGAAUGCACUGUUCGCUAAAGACAUCGCUGAAGGAUGUGGCUGCGGCCGAUUAGGUAGACGGUGGGGUAACGGCCCACCGUGCCCAUAAUCGGUACGGGUUGUGAGAGCAAGAGCCCGGAGACGGUAUCUGAGACAAGAUACCGGGCCCUACGGGGCGCAGCAGGCGCGAAAACUUUACACUGCACGACAGUGCGAUAAGGGAACUCCGAGUGCGAGGGCAUAUCGUCCUCGCUUUUGUGUACCGUAGUGAGGUACUCGAACAAGAGCUGGGCAAGACCGGUGCCAGCCGCCGCGGUAACACCGGCAGCUCGAGUGAUGGCCGAUAUUAUUGGGCCUAAAGCGUCCGUAGCCAGCUGAACAGGUCCGUCGGGAAAUCUGCUCGCUCAACGAGCAGGCGUCCGGCGGAAACCAGUCAGCUUGGGACCGGAAGACCCGAGGGGUACGUCCGGGGUAGGAGUGAAAUCCCGUAAUCCUGGACGGACCACCGGUGGCGAAAGCGCCUCGGGAAGACGGAUCCGACGGUGAGGGACGAAAGCUAGGGUCACGAACCGGAUUAGAUACCCGGGUAGUCCUAGCCGUAAACGAUGCUCACUAGGUGUGGCACUGGCUACGAGCCAGUGCUGUGCCGUAGGGAAGCCGUGAAGUGAGCCGCCUGGGAAGUACGUCCGCAAGGAUGAAACUUAAAGGAAUUGGCGGGGGAGCACUACAACCGGAGGAGCCUGCGGUUUAAUUGGACUCAACGCCGGACAUCUCACCAGCUCCGACAGUGUGCAGUGACGGUCAGUGUGAUGAGCUUACCUGAGCCACUGAGAGGAGGUGCAUGGCCGCCGUCAGCUCGUACCGUGAGGCGUCCUGUUAAGUCAGGCAACGAGCGAGACCCACGUCCUUAAUUGCCAGCAACACCCUCGUGGUGGUUGGGUACAUUAAGGAGACUGCCGCUGCUAAAGCGGAGGAAGGAAUGGGCAACGGUAGGUCAGUAUGCCCCGAAUGAGCUGGGCAACACGCGGGCUACAAUGGCCGAGACAGUGGGAUGCAACCCCGAGAGGGGGCGCUAAUCUCCGAAACUCGGUCGUAGUUCGGAUUGCGGACUGAAACUCGUCCGCAUGAAGCUGGAUUCGGUAGUAAUCGCCGUUCAGAAGACGGCGGUGAAUACGUCCCUGCUCCUUGCACACACCGCCCGUC
rnacentral:rRNA from 1 species